AUGGCAGAAAAUCCUCCCGAAACGGUGUCGUUUACUUCACAACCUUCUCCUUCUCACCCUUCUUCUUCCUCUUCGCUGAAAUCGCCACAAGAUCCACCUCAGGCCCGGAGCUUUCCAAUUUUCCGCAAUUUCCGGAUGGAUAUUAUCAAAUGUUUCCUGAUUCUGAUUGCGAAUUAUGCGAAAAAUAAUGAUCCGAACUUUGAGUUACUCUCUUCCACUUCUCAAGGUAAUAGAAUAAUGGUUUAUGUACUGUUGUUCUUUUAUUCUUAA